rnacentral:rRNA from 1 species
GGGGGAUAUUGCGCAAUGGGGGCAACCCUGACGCAGCAACGCCGCGUGAAGGAUGAAGGUUUUCGGAUUGUAAACUUCUUUUAUUAAGGACGAAAAAUGACGGUACUUAAUGAAUAAGCUCCGGCUAACUACGUGCCAGCAGCCGCGGUAAUACGUAGGGAGCAAGCGUUGUCCGGAUUUACUGGGUGUAAAGGGUGCGUAGGCGGCUUUGCAAGUCAGAUGUGAAAUCUAUGGGCUCAACCCAUAAACUGCAUUUGAAACUGUAGAGCUUGAGUGAAGUAGAGGCAGGCGGAAUUCCCCGUGUAGCGGUGAAAUGCGUAGAGAUGGGGAGGAACACCAGUGGCGAAGGCGGCCUGCUGGGCUUUAACUGACGCUGAGGCACGAAAGCGUGGGUAGCAAACAGGAUUAGAUACCCUGGUAGUCCACGCUGUAAACGAUGAUUACUAGGUGUGGGGGGUCUGACCCCUUCCGUGCCGGAGUUAACACAAUAAGUAAUCCACCUGGGGAGUACGGCCGCAAGGUUGAAAUUCAAAGGAAUUGACGGGGGCCCGCACAAGCAGUGGAGUAUGUGGUUUAAUUCGAAGCAACGCGAAGAACCUUACCAGGUCUUGACAUCCAACUAACGAAGUAGAGAUACAUUAGGUGCCCUUCGGGGAAAGUUGAGACAGGUGGUGCAUGGUUGUCGUCAGCUCGUGUCGUGAGAUGUUGGGUUAAGUCCCGCAACGAGCGCAACCCUUGCUAUUAGUUGCUACGCAAGAGCACUCUAAUAGGACUGCCGUUGACAAAACGGAGGAAGGUGGGGACGACGUCAAAUCAUCAUGCCCCUUAUGACCUGGGCUACACACGUACUACAAUGGAUGUUAACAGAGGGAAGCAAGACAGCGAUGUGGAGCAAACCCCUAAAAACAUUCUCAGUUCAGAUUGCAGGCUGCAACCCGCCUGCAUGAAGAUGGAAUUGCUAGUAAUCGCGGAUCAGCAUGCCGCGGUGAAUACGUUCCCG